rnacentral:rRNA from 1 species
AGCGAACAUUGGCGGUAGGCUUAACACAUGCAAGUCGAGCGAGGCGUAAUAGUCGAGCGGCGAACGGGUGAGUAACACGUGGGAAUCUACCUCGAAGUGGGGGAUAACGUCCAGAAAUGGACGCUAAUACCGCAUAAUCCAUAUUGGGAAAGCGCGCUGCGCUUUGAGAUGAGCCCAUGGCUGAUUAGCUAGUUGGUGAGGUAACGGCUUACCAAGGCGACGAUCAGUAGCUGGUCUGAGAGGAUGAUCAGCCACACUGGAACUGAGAUACGGUCCAGACUCCUACGGGAGGCAGCAGUGGGGAAUCUUGGACAAUGGGCGCAAGCCUGAUCCAGCCAUGCCGCGUGAGUGACGAAGGUCUUCGGAUUGUAAAGCUCUUUUGCCAGGGACGAUAAUGACGGUACCUGGAGAAUAAGCCCCGGCUAACUUCGUGCCAGCAGCCGCCGUAA